AGGUAAAUCCGGGGUUUCAAGGCCGAGAGCUGAUGACGAGUCGUCUUUUAGAUGACGAAGUGGUUGAUGCCAUGCUUCCAAGAAAAGCUUCUAAGCUACAGGUAACCAGGAACCGUACCCCAAACCGACACAGGUGGUCGGGUAGAGAAUACCAAGGCGCUUGAGAGAACUCGGGUGAAGGAACUAGGCAAAAUGGCACCGUAACUUCGGGAGAAGGUGCGCCGGCUAGGGUGAAGGAUUUACUCCGUAAGCUCUGGCUGGUCGAAGAUACCAGGCCGCUGCGACUGUUUAUUAAAAACACAGCACUCUGCAAACACGAAAGUGGACGUAUAGGGUGUGACGCCUGCCCGGUGCCGGAAGGUUAAUUGAUGGGGUUAGCGCAAGCGAAGCUCUUGAUCGAAGCCCCGGUAAACGGCGGCCGUAACAAUAACGGUCCUAAGGUAGCGAAAUUCCUUGUCGGGUAAGUUCCGACCUGCACGAAUGGCGUAACGAUGGCGGCGCUGUCUCCACCCGAGACUCAGUGAAAUUGAAAUCGCUGUGAAGAUGCAGUGUAUCCGCGGCUAGACGGAAAGACCCCGUGAACCUUUACUGUAGCUUUGCACUGGACUUUGAGCCUGCUUGUGUAGGAUAGGUGGGAGGCUUUGAAGCGUGGACGCCAGUUCGCGUGGAGCCAUCCUUGAAAUACCACCCUGGCAUGCUUGAGGUUCUAACUCUGGUCCGUAAUCCGGAUCGAGGACAGUGUAUGGUGGGCAGUUUGACUGGGGCGGUCUCCUCCUAAAGAGUAACGGAGGAGUACGAAGGUGCGCUCAGACCGGUCGGAAAUCGGUCGCAGAGUAUAAAGGCAAAAGCGCGCUUGACUGCGAGACAGACACGUCGAGCAGGUACGAAAGUAGGUCUUAGUGAUCCGGUGGUUCUGUAUGGAAGGGCCAUCGCUCAACGGAUAAAAGGUACUCCGGGGAUAACAGGCUGAUACCGCCCAAGAGUUCAUAUCGACGGCGGUGUUUGGCACCUCGAUGUCGGCUCAUCACAUCCUGGGGCUGAAGCCGGUCCCAAGGGUAUGGCUGUUCGCCAUUUAAAGUGGUACGCGAGCUGGGUUUAGAACGUCGUGAGACAGUUCGGUCCCUAUCUGCCGUGGACGUUUGAGAUUUGAGAGGGGCUGCUCCUAGUACGAGAGGACCGGAGUGGACGAACCUCUGGUGUUCCGGUUGUCACGCCAGUGGCAUUGCCGGGUAGCUAUGUUCGGAAAAGAUAACCGCUGAAAGCAUCUAAGCGGGAAACUUGCCUCAAGAUGAGAUCUCACUGGGAACUUGAUUCCCCUGAAGGGCCGUCGAAGACUACGACGUUGAUAGGCUGGGUGUGUAAGCGUUGUGAGGCGUUGAGCUAACCAGUACUAAUUGCCCGU
rnacentral:rRNA from 1 species